rnacentral:rRNA from 1 species
UACGUAGGCAGCAAGCGUUGUUCGGAGUUACUGGGCGUAAAGAGUGUGUAGGCGGUUUUCUAAGUUUGGUGUGAAAUCUCCCGGCUUAACUGGGAGGGUGCGCCGAAGACUGGAAGGCUUGAGUAUGGGAGAGGAAAGCGGAAUUCCUGGUGUAGCGGUGAAAUGCGCAGAUAUCAGGAGGAACACCGGUGGCGAAGGCGGGUCUCGUGGGCCGUAACUGACGCUGGAGGAGCGAAAGCGUGGGGAGCGAACAGG